GGACUGGCUCCAGCUCAGCGGUUCCUUCGACAGAAAGCUUACAAUCACCUCUGUGGUUCGAGACCCGCGGGCGCUCCCCAGUCCUUUU
ensembl:misc_RNA Vault Vault RNA